AUUGAACGCUGGCGGCAGGCCUAACACAUGCAAGUCGAACGAGUGGCGGACGGGUGAGUAAUGUCUGGGAAACUGCCUGAUGGAGGGGGAUAACUACUGGAAACGGUAGCUAAUACCGCAUACCAUCAGAUGUGCCCAGAUGGUAUUAGCUUGUUGGUUGGGUAAAGGCUCACCAAGGCGACGAUCCCUAGCUGGUCUGAGAGGAGGACUAGCCACUGUGGAACUGAGACACGGGCCAGACUCCUACGGGAGGCAGCAGGGGGGAAUAGUGCACAAUGGGCGCAAGCCUGACGCAGCCAUGCGGCGUGUAUGAAGGAGGCCUGCGGGUUGUAAAGUACUUUCAGCGGGGAGGCGUGACCCGCAGAAGAAGCACCGGCUAACUCCGUGCCAGCCGCCGCGUAAUUC
rnacentral:rRNA from 1 species